rnacentral:rRNA from 1 species
UACGAAGGGGGCUAGCGUUGCUCGGAAUCACUGGGCGUAAAGCGUGCGCAGGCGGUUUUGUAAGCCAGGUGUGAAAUCCCCGGGCUCAACCUGGGAAUGGCAUUUGGGACUGCAAGGCUGGAGUGCGGCAGAGGAGACUGGAAUUCCUGGUGUAGCAGUGAAAUGCGUAGAUAUCAGGAGGAAUACCGAUGGCGAAGGCAGGUCUCUGGGCUGACACUGACGCUCAUGCACGAAAGCGUGGGGAGCAAACAGG